UUCCUACGGGAGGCAGCAGUCGGGAAUAUUGCGCAAUGGAGGAAACUCUGACGCAGUGACGCCGCGUGCAGGAAGAAGGUUUUCGGAUUGUAAACUGCUUUAGACAGGGAAGAAAAAAGACAGUACCUGUAGAAUAAGCUCCGGCUAACUACGUGCCAGCAGCCGCGGUAAUACGUAGGGAGCAAGCGUUAUCCGGAUUUAUUGGGUUUAAAGGGUGCGUAGGCGGGCUGUUAAGUCAGCGGUCAAAUGUCGGGGCUCAACCCCGGCCUGCCGUUGAAACUGGCGGCCUCGAGUGGGCGAGAAGG
rnacentral:rRNA from 1 species